rnacentral:lncRNA from 1 species
GAGAUUUUGACGUCAUGAAUUUGAAAUUCAUUAUGGCGGACGAGAAGUCCAUUAUUCGGUAGGUAUACAAAAUAAAUAUCACAAACAUUGAUUUGCGCUUGCUUUCAAAGCGAUGGAUUACCAGUUUGAUUUAUACAGUAGUUGUCAUUCUUUAGAAAACAGUAAAUGUCUAUUCAGGAUAGUGCAGCAGGUCAAAAUUUUGCAAAAACACCGGUAAAAUAAAAAAAAUACAAACAACAACAGCCACCUGCUGUCAAUAAAAGGAAUGACUCAUUACAGUUCAGACAUGUCAGCCUCCAUGAUGUGAAUAUAAAUGUCAAAAGUAUACUCACUAUAGUGCACCUAUCAUAAACAUAUAGACAAGGCACUUGGUCUGUUGAUUAAGUAAAAGUACCACCCCAUUAGUGACAGUGAUUCUGAAACUUGGGAUUUUGGUUUCCCUGUUUUACUAAUUGCAACUUCAAAUUUGACUUAAAAAACCAACAGUUAAUGCUUUAUAAAGUCAUUUUGUCAACAAGUGCUCAAAUACACCUUAUAGCUAAUCCCGGCUGACCGGGCCACUUGAACUUUUGACGCAUACAACAAUCACUUUUCCAUUGUGGCUUCAGAUAUUUUGUUAUAUGACGUCAAAAUUUUACGGGAACCUGUGUGAGAUCCAGUAAACUGUAAUGGCCGACAAAUAGCGAUAAGGUGUAUGAGGUCAGUCAUAGUAAAAUCCUGGAACUUGGAAUUGAAAUUUCUUUAAUGACUAUGUUUUCUUUGCAACACACCUUUAAUAGUCCUUAUCAUCUGUAUCACUUGAACUUUUGAUUUCAUAAAAAAAAUGUACAGUAAUCGCUUUUCCAUUGUGGUGACAGAUAUUUUGAUGUCAAGGCGGACACAACUUCAAAUUCACAUUUCUUCAUGUAAACACCAUAAAUAAGAAAUUUUGAAAUGAUUCAAACCCGUGCAGCAUAAUGACACAAGUACUAGGCAUGUUAUCAUCAGUUAUUGAGUGCUGAACAACGUGUUUCAUUGGUCAUAUGUUGAUGUGUUUAUGCAGUGAUUUUGCUAGCGCUCGUCAUUUUCGUAAUUUACGAAACAAUUUUCGCAUUGACGAAAGUAUUUCAAACCAAUUUUGUCACUAAAAAUUUUUAAAGUGUUAAAUUUUUUCGCAUUAAAAUACUAUAACAUAUAUAAAUUUACCUGUCCUUAUGUUUUUGACAAGUUUAUGACCCCCAGGUAGUUAACACUUACAACAGGUGUUACAAGUUGUGAUUAUAACUAAUCCGCUUAUCACCUGAUGAUGAGUCACUAAUUCGUUAAUUAUUAAUUAACCAUCAUAAUUAUUUUCCCCAGGAAAUUCAGUCAGUCUGCAUUUCAACACCAAGGAGUAUAGUUUCAUCAAAAUUGUUUCUCCCGAACAGUUCGCAUUUUGAGUUUCAAUAUUUUUUAUAAGAUCACUUAUUGAAGUUUGUUUGUCGUAGAUUCGUCAUUCGAACGAAUUUUCGUCAUAUUUUAUAUAUAUUUUUCAUCAAAAACUUUAUUCAAAACAGUCAAUGUUUUCAUGAAGCAAACAGGUGCUUCCUGUACUGUGUUCUAUGCAAGGAAUGUGAAAGUUCCCCCUGAUUAUUUAUAGACACCAAAAACAUAAAAUAUGAAAUCAUUUAGUAUCUAUUCAACGAGAGAGACAAAUAUUCAUCUCUUACUAAAAGAAUUUAAAUAAGAAAAAAAAAAUAUUUUCCUGAUUGAAACCAGACUCGGUUGGAAUUUAUUAUCCACAUGCCACUUCCCUUUUUAAUUUCAUUUUAAAACUGAAAGUAGAAAACGUCAUUUAUUGACUAUUCUUGAUUUGUAUACAACCUCCAUACAGGCAUUAAAAUCGUUCCUAAAAGGAUUUUAUACAGUUCAAACUUCAUAGAAAUGUAAUCCAAAUAUCGACUUAAAACGUUUUAUUAGGAUAAUGAUUAUGCAGUGAGAUAAUCAGUGCAGUUAAUUUCUGCUGUGGUUCCUUGUUUAAAAAAAAAUGGAAUCUAACUUAUGUUGAUCAGGAAUUUCCCUUGAAACAAACUGAAGAGAAAUUGUGAACUAAAUUUCCGGAUCCCAUGUCAGAAUCUUUCAUAAUAAGGUCCAAUACAGUUAAAUCAUACAAUAACAUCAAAUCAUGUCUGCUUAGUAUUGAAAGAAGAAGAGUAACAAACUUUUUUUGCUACCAAAAGUUAGAUUGAUAUACAUGUACCCUCUUGAGUAACAAGUUCCAGAAGUUGUCUUUUUAUUAAAUAACCUGCUAUACAUUGUAAAGACAAUGCUAAAACCUCCUUUCUUAAGAAAAUGAAAUGUUUCUGUCUGAAUUUCUUUAAUUAGGCUUAAAUUAAAAUAUUGUUUGUUUGCCCUUUACAGACUGACCCUAUGAAUUCGUUGCGACUGAAAAUCUUUUAUUUGUAUUUACCAGCAAUAUAAUAUUUUAAUUUUUUUUCGUUCCUACCGAAAAUCUUAUAUUUGUAUUUCCCGCUCAAAACUUUUUUCUGGAAUCCUCGGGUUUUAUCUUCCGUGUAUAAGGUUAAGUCGGUUUUGUAUCACAUGAGCGUUUGGCAUAAACACUUGCAUUUAGAAAUUCAAAGCAUUUGAUUGAAGUCGAUGUUGCAAGUAUGAACGUUGCCAUUUAUACUUGAAGAGCAGGGUUCAUUCAAAAAAGUUUGUCCAAUACAAAAUUAUCAACGUGUGAACAAAAUAUUUUGAUAAUGGGCGUUGUAUCCUAUACAUGUAGGGAUGGCCUUUGGUGAUCCGUAGAUCAGGAUGAUUAUGUUAUUGCUGCCUUUGACCAGCUUUGACAUUUUAUUUAUAUCUGACAUCAGGGACUAUACUAACAGGACUGGUCACUUAUAACGAUGUCUAUACAAAUUAUUGUUAGUAUAGAAAGUCCCUGCUGACAUGAACCAAAGUCCUGUAUAAAAUUGGAGAAUAAUUGGCAGUAAAAUCGCCAAGUUUUCCUUACAGACCAUCUCGAGCAAACCACUUAAAAAUGCGAUGUAAAAUACGUGACAAUUGAGUUUCAAGUCUUUUAGAUUUUACAACGGGACGCACAAAAUCUUAACUGGUUGCAUGACAAUGAUGGUGGGAAAUGGCUUUAUAUUCUAGUCAAAUAUUCUUUUUAUUUUACAGAUAUUACAUGUAUCUCUGAAAAUUUAAGUUCAAAUUUUGAUAAAAUUGGUAGAAUGUCGGAAUAAAACAUGCCAUAGAUUGCUCAUUGUACAGCUGUUUCACAAACUAUGCCAGGGAGAUAUAUGAUAUUAAAAAACCUUACGGUCGAGUUAAUCGUACAAGGUACAUGUACCUAGUACAGAAUAUCAGUGCAAGUUAAAACUCUUUGAAGUUCCAGGCAUAUACACGUUGAAAAUACGCUGCACAGCCCUAUAUUUUGAUAUUUGAAAACAAAAUAAUAGUGCAUAUGAAUUAACUUCACAUUCUACAUGAUAAUUUUUUUUCAUAACUUCCUGCGACUAUUAGUGUAAUAUAGUCCCAGAAACUUUUAGUAAAAUCAUACUUAAAACAAAAGCAAAUACAUGUACAGACAAAAAUGAUAUCAUGCAGAUUUUGUAUCUAUAAAAUAAAAUAGUAUAUAUACCUACCUGCCUACCCAUGACAAAAAAUGUACCGAGCAAAGUUAUUUUUGGGGAAAGAAAAAUAAAAUAUUUUACCUACCUACAUGUACCUACCCUGUUUCAAAAAAUAGGGUCAGAAAAGGGCAAACAGACAAUAUUUUAAUUUAGGCCUUAUCAAUAAAAAAUUAAUGUUUUAUAGACUUUGUAAAAAUUAAAAAUGUCCUAUGAUGAAAGCGACUAAACAACAGGGCGUCUAGCUUUCAGUUUUGAAGGGUGGGCAAAGAGAAGAGACAAAGGGGAAAGCGACCCCAGUCGCCUGCUAGCGUGAGCCCUAAUCACAUGACUUGUGUAAAGUAAAAUUGUAAAACAAAAACAUUUGUAAACUUUACAUGUACAUACAUGUAUGCUACAAGUCCUGACAAUUUCAAAACAAUUCAUUGCAAUGCAUGACAUCCUGACUGGUUGAAUUAAAUAAGGCUUAGACUAUCAACAUGAUCAAGAUUCGAAUUCCAGGAGCUGAGUGUAGAAGUAAUAAUUAAAAAAAAAAUGUUAUUUUGUAUCUUUAAUAUUUUUUUUAACAUUAAAUAUGAAACAGUUACAUGUAUGAUAUGUUUUAUAUACCCAACGCAUAACAGUUCCCUCAUCAUGUUUAUAUCUCACAUCUAUAUAUAAGUAUUCAAGCCACUUUUAUAAAAGUGAUUUUUUUUAUGUUAUGUGUGUCCUUAAAGUAUUAGCAUUUACAACUGACAUUAAUUACAUUACCAAUGAUUAUACAUAGUAUGUAGUGGGUCUCAACUAUUUCUGUUUAGUAUGUAUGGUAGGGAAGUACAUUUGUUUGUUUAAUUUCCAUUUCAGGAUCUUAAGAUGAUUUUGAUAAUGAUACAAGACAAUACAUGUAAAUUGCAUUAGAUAAUCAGUGGAUUUAAUUUGUUUCUGUGAAAAAUUGGUUUAAAUUUUAAAUUCUUGCAAAAUGGCUACACUGGAUGAUUUUACCCUUGGAAUAACAACAUCUGAUACAAGAAAGCGAGUGCAGACUCAUUCAGACUUAGUGUCACAUUUAAGAGAUCCCUACAGUUCAAUACAUUGUAUAGACAUAGAUGAAUUAAUCGGUGGACUUGUAGCAUGGGUUAACUGCAGUAACUAUAAGGUA